rnacentral:lncRNA from 1 species
AAAGAAUGAAACUUCCUUACUGUUCACUAACCUACAUCUCAAUUACCUCCCAACAUGUUUGCAGCAAGUACCCUGUCGAUGGUAGGCAAGAGGAAGGUGUGACCCACAAAGAUCAAGGAAUCUAAGCCGGCCAAGUUCUAAAGGCUGGAAAGUCCAAGACCAAGACACCAGCAGAUUCAGUGUCUGGUGAGAGCCCACUCUCUGAUUCACAGAAGGCUUCUUACUGUGUUGAAAAGACAUGACUCAACCCACCCAUCACUUAGCAGCCGUCUGGGUUAUCAGAUUGACUGUCAUAGUGGCACAGUGCUUGUGUUCAAGCAACCCUUAUUUUACUUCCCGAUGGCCCCAAAGUGCAAGAGUAGCGACGCUGGUGAUUCCGACAUGCCAGAAAGAGGCUGCAAAGUGCUUCCUGUAAGCGAAAAGCUGAAAGUUCUCAAUGUAAUAAGGAAAGAAAAAGAAAUCAUAUGCUGAGGUUGCUAAGAUCUAUGGUACUCAGGGAGUUUUGAAAUCUUCCAAGAUGCCAUCGAGGAACUGAAAAGUGCUGUCCAGCUGCAGUGAGGGCUUUUUAAAGGCAGUUCCAUGUCUACACCCCACUGAGUUCAGACUGUCCAAUGAACCACUGACAUUGUUACACCUGCGUAUUGUGGACAACUUGAGAAAACACUUGUCUGCAGGAAGAUGAAAUUAAAAUCAAGUGUGAUCCUACCACCGAAAGAUAAGUGUUACUGAUAUUUUUUGUUAAUAACAUUCCAGUUUUUUAUGUAGUUUUGGGCUAGCUUAUUAUUUUCAUGUGAUUUCAAACUUGGAGAAAGUUUCCAAGAUGAGUCCAAGGAGCUCUCAUAUGCUCCUCACCCAGAUCCACUAACUGGCCACAUUUUGUCCCAUUUGCUUUAUUAUUCCUUCUACCCCUCUCUCUCUAAAGUAUUAUUAUAUGUUAAAUAUAUCUUAAUAUAAUUAUAGUUAUGUUAAAUAUAUCUUAAUAUAGUUACAAAUAAUUAUGUUAAAUAUAUCUUAAUAUAAUUAUGUUAAAUGAUGUUAUGAAUAUUAAAAAUUAUAAUUUAAAUAAUAUUCUAAUAUAGGCAGACAUUUAGUUUCUGAACCAUUUGGGACCAUGCUGAAAACAUCAUUUUCCUUUACACCAUUUUCCUUCAGUGCCAGAGGGGACCAGAGCAGUGAGAGGUUGUGGGGGGAUCCUGGGCCAGGAGCAUCCCCAUUUCCUGGAAUAAGAUAGUUCUCUUAAAUAACUACAGUACCAACAUAGAAAUCAGGAAAUUUAGCAUUGACACUAUUAACUAAUGCACAGCCCAUAAACAAAUCAUAUCAAUUGUUCCAAUAAUUUGUGUUUGUUUGUUUGUUUUGUUUUUUUAGACGGAGUUUCACUCUUGCUGCCCAGGCUGGAGUGCAAUGACUCAAUCUCAGCUCACUGCAACUUCCACCUCCCAGAGUGUCUCCCAGGCUAGAGUGAAGAUUUCAGCUCACUGCAGCCUGGACCUCCUGGGCUCAAGCGAACCUUCUGGCCUCAGGCCCCCUGAGUAGCUGGGACUACAGACGUAUGCCACCAUGCCCUGCUAAUUUUUUGUAUAGAUAGGGUUUCACCAUGUUACUCAGGCUGUAGCAUCAUUUUAAUAGCUGUAUAAUUUCCAUGAUGCACACUGUGAUUACUAAUUAUAACUCCUAUUGUUUUGUCAAA